ACAUGCAGUCGAGCGCAGGAAGCAAGCUGAUCCCCUUCGGGGGUGACGCUUGUGGAAUGAGCGGCGGACGGGUGAGUAACACGUGGGCAACCUGCCUGUAAGACUGGGAUAACCCCGGGAAACCGGGGCUAAUACCGGAUAAUACUUUCUUUUGCAUAAAGGAAAGUUGAAAGGCGGCUUCGGCUGUCACUUACAGAUGGGCCCGCGGCGCAUUAGCUAGUUGGUGAGGUAACGGCUCACCAAGGCGACGAUGCGUAGCCGACCUGAGAGGGUGAUCGGCCACACUGGGACUGAGACACGGCCCAGACUCCUACGGGAGGCAGCAGUAGGGAAUCUUCCGCAAUGGACGAAAGUCUGACGGAGCAACGCCGCGUGAGUGAUGAAGGUUUUCGGAUCGUAAAACUCUGUUGUUAGGGAAGAACAAGUUGGGUAGUAACUGACCCAACCUUGACGGUACCUAACCAGAAAGCCACGGCUAACUACGUGCCAGCAGCCGCGGUAAUACGUAGGUGGCAAGCGUUGUCCGGAAUUAUUGGGCGUAAAGCGCUCGCAGGCGGUCCUUUAAGUCUGAUGUGAAAUCUCGCGGCUCAACCGCGAACGGUCAUUGGAAACUGGAGGACUUGAGUACAGAAGAGGAGAGUGGAAUUCCACGUGUAGCGGUGAAAUGCGUAGAGAUGUGGAGGAACACCAGUGGCGAAGGCGACUCUCUGGUCUGUAACUGACGCUGAGGAGCGAAAGCGUGGGGAGCGAACAGGAUUAGAUACCCUGGUAGUCCACGCCGUAAACGAUGAGUGCUAGGUGUUAGGGGGUUUCCGCCCCUUAGUGCUGAAGUUAACGCAUUAAGCACUCCGCCUGGGGAGUACGGCCGCAAGGCUGAAACUCAAAAGAAUUGACGGGGGCCCGCACAAGCGGUGGAGCAUGUGGUUUAAUUCGAAGCAACGCGAAGAACCUUACCAGGUCUUGACAUCCUCUGCCAUUCCUAGAGAUAGGAAGUUCCCUUCGGGGACAGAGUGACAGGUGGUGCAUGGUUGUCGUCAGCUCGUGUCGUGAGAUGUUGGGUUAAGUCCCGCAACGAGCGCAACCCUUGAUCUUAGUUGCCAGCAUUUAGUUGGGNACUCUAAGUGACUGCCGGUGACAACCGGAGGAAGGGGGGAUGACGUCAAUCAUCAUGCCNNUAUGACUGGGCUACMMCKGCUACAUGGAUGGACAAGGGAGCAAACCG
rnacentral:rRNA from 1 species